CGGCGACGACAGCGACACGGACAGCGACGAGACUGUCGUGGAGGGCUCUGUGCCGGAGAGUGAUGUGGACGAAGAGGAGUUCCGUAGGAGGAGGUUGAAUUUUCUUAACAAGGAUAUUGCUUUAACAACUGAGAUAAGUAUUAAUAAAGGAGCUUUUUCUCCAGAAAUCUGUUUUAUACAGAAAUUUGGUGACCACACAUAUCGUCAUAAGGCAGAACAGAUAAAACCAGUACUUCAAGAAGCAUACACAAUUUCUGACCAGUCUCAAUCCCUACUGAAGGAUUGGAUAAACCAUUCAUCACCUACUGAAAAUAUUUCUAAGCCUUGUUUUUCAUUAAAUUCUGCAGCAGAAGAACAGAAAAAUAAUUCUGAAGAUAUCAAAUUGAAUGGAUUUCAAAAGGAUUUAGAAGAAGAGCCUGUGGGUGGUC
rnacentral:lncRNA from 1 species